UCAACCCCAGAACACAAAUCACGUCUUGGCCGACAGAAGAUACUCAAGGGGAUUCAACCAAACAUUUGUCGGCGAUGUUAAAGAGCGAUCACAACAUCAGCAAAGCUCAUAAACGCUGAAAGAUGAAAGAGAAAUGCUGUCACUUAAAAACAGAACCGGUCUUUAAAACAAAAAGAGAGGGACAGAACUACAAUUCCUAUCUUUGCCAAAUAACCCCCACCCCCAGGCAAUGUUAUGAGGACAUUUUUAAUAACAGAGAAAGGCAAGUCAUAGGUGGACACAACCACCUUUGUGUUUUGCAAAACAACUCAACUUGGCAUUUAAUGGAGGCCGACUUAAUGAAUGACUGA
rnacentral:lncRNA from 1 species